AUAUAAUAUCAAUAUACAUAUGAAAGAAUGUAUAUAUUACCCUAUUUUAAAGGUGAAUUACCUUUUCGAUGAUUGCAGUGAGACUUUGCUUAAGGUAAAGCAAGCUUUUUGUUCCACAGCUGUUGAUUUGCCUCCAGAAGAAUCCACUGCACCAUAUCAUUACACCAUCUUGCCAGAGACUUUUGAUCUUAAUGAAACUCGAAAGGUUUUAAUCGUUUCAACAGGGUUCCACAUUCCAAUCGUCUCCCUUGUCGACUCUACCAUGCCUUCAAUUACUACUCCAAGAUCACCUAUCUCAUCCUUGCCAACAAUUACAUUCAGUUUGUUUAUAUCUUCUACGAUCUCAUUACCACGACCUUUCUUCUUCAUUGGUAUGAUGUCUUGUAUGUACCACUACACUUUUGUACUGCACUUUGCCUGUUUGAUGUUUUGCCCCAUUAAAAAGAUUAACAACUUUUAAUGUUUUAAUGAGUGUACAGUGGAGAAGUAUAAGAAAUUUCCAUCAAAUUUGCAGAGCAGCACCUUUAUCAAUUUUGAAGCUAUUAUUAAAUAAAUAAAUUUAUUAUACUCUUUAUAAAAAGCAGUGUUGAAAGAGGGUGAAGUAGAACAAUAAUAGAAGAGAAAGGUCGCGAAAGAUGGAACAGAUCUCACUGAGUUGUCUUCCAAUUUGAUCUGGCCAUGAUGUUCAUAUUAAUUUUAUUGUUUACGCUGCGAGUAUUGAUUUCACCGAGUAUUGAUCACAGUAACAAUGGUGCUCAUUUCUGCUGCCCGCGAUUACAUCAAUUGGAUGCUUCAAGACAUCUCCGGCAUGAAAGUCCUCAUCCUCGAUUCUCACACCAUAAGUUCCACUAGCUUACAUCAUUUCUCUAAUAGAUUAUCAUCAUUCUACUUCGUUUCUUUUGUUUCCAAAGAUAAAUGAUGGUCUUUGUUUGUUGUUUUUCCCUAUUCAUAUUGAUUAAGUACAAGUUGAUUUGGGAUCAUUUUAUGCUGUAUUUAGUAUUCUCUAAUGUGAAAAGUGAAAUUUCCAUGGGUAUUUUCGAUGAGCGCGUUAUAAUUAGUGAAAUUGAGAAGGAAAAACAUUUAUUUAUUAUUAAUAUUUUUUUUCUUUCUGAAAUGUGGAUUGGGUAAUGGCACGAUGAUCUCUUCUAUUCAUUGUUCUUGGUUUAUUAAACCAAUUAUACUAUCAUGCCACUAAUGAUGCAAUUAUGAAAAGAAAAGAAAAAAUUACGGUUCAUGUAUUGUCUUGUAGACAUUGUAGAAUUGAUUUUUGUUUGAUUUUGAAUUAAUGAGAUGCAGGUUAGUAUAGUGAGUGUUGUGUAUUCACAGUCUGAGCUUCUUCAGAAAGAGGUGUUCUUGGUAGAGUUGAUAGAAUCUAUUGCAAUGUCCCAUGUCUCAUCUCCAUGGAGCAAAUCACGCAUAUAUGCUUCCAGCUGUUGCAGCAUUUUUGUGACGAGUUGUUGAUGGUAUCGCAACAUUUCUGGCUUUGAAACGAAAACCCAUUAUUCGAUAUCAAAGAACAUCUGAUAUAGCCAUAAGGAUUGCCCAUGAAACAUUCCCUGCAAGCCUGCAGAUUCUUUCAAUGAAAAUUUUGGGUCAUCACAAUACUGAUGUCAUGUUUUGGGAUGUAACAGAAGUUGAUAUACCAGCAAGAAAGUGGUCUUUUCGAUUUCAGAAGGAUAGAAAUUUCUCCUUUGUUAUUGGUGCUUGCUAGAAGAGAUGACCCUGUGACACUAUUGUUGAAUCAAUGGACGUAUCAAGUAUCAUAUUGGGGCUUUUACUUUUGCUAAUAUAUGAGAGAGGUAAUAUGAUAAAUGUUGUAGUACUCCAGGUAUCAAAUAGGCCUCCGUUAUACAGGCGGUGCACGUAUGUUGUUGAUGCUCUCAUUAAAAUUUGGGAUUCUACCAAUUAAAGUACCGGUUGGUGUUCGAGACUUUGACAUUGAUGGAGAGCUUUGGGUCAAAUUGUGAUUGAUACCAACUGAACCAUUCGUAGGAGCUGUUUCAUGGGCUUUUGUUCAACUACCGAAAAUUAAAUUUGAGUUGUCACCAUUUUGCUUGUUCAAUGUUAUGGGUAUGUGUUAAAAAUAUUGCCUUCUCUAAAUAAAUUAGACUGUUAGAGAUAGGGGAAUGCUGAUGCAAACUCAACUUUCUUUUAUUGGCUGCGCAAGAAUAUAUGUUGAUGUAGGUAGGAACCUGAAUCUGAAGAAAGCUUGCCAUCUAAAUUAAAUUAGUCAUUGAAUAUUAGUAAUAUCUAUAUGAUUAUUUGGUCUGUUGGAAACAUAAUUGUUGUAACAAUAGAACUCAAAUAUUGUAAAAAUUAUAUUCAAAAUCUAAUUACUCUUGUUAGAUUAUACCAAAA